rnacentral:rRNA from 1 species
UGCCAGCAGCCGCGGUAAUACGGAGUGUGCAAGCGUUGUUCGGAAUCACUGGGCGUAAAGCGCGCGUAGGCGGCAAGGUAAGUCAGAUGUGAAAUCCCUCGGCUCAACCGAGGAACUGCAUUUGAAACUGCCUGGCUUGAGUACGGGAGGGGAGGGCGGAAUUCCCAGUGUAGAGGUGAAAUUCGUAGAUAUUGGGAGGAACACCAGCGGCGAAGGCGGCUCUCUGGACCGAUACUGACGCUGAGAUGCGAAAGCGUGGGGAGCAAACAGGAUUAGAUA